rnacentral:rRNA from 1 species
CUUUAAUAUUUUUAGUGAUAAUAGAACCACAUUGAUCCAUAUCGAACUCAAAUAUGAAAUAUUAUUAAUCAACAAAAAUACUGAGAAAUAGCUUUCUUGGAAAAAUAGUUCAAUAUUAAAG